rnacentral:rRNA from 1 species
GACAGAGGGGGCAAGCGUUGCUCGGAAUUACUGGGCGUAAAGGGUGCGUAGGUGGCGUGGUAAGUCGGAUGUGAAAUCCCGGGGCUCAACCCCGGAACUGCAUUCGAUACUGCCUUGCUAGAGUACUGGAGAGGAGAUUGGAAUUUACGGUGUAGCAGUGAAAUGCGUAGAUAUCGUAAGGAAGACCAGUGGCGAAGGCGGAUCUCUGGACAGUUACUGACACUGAGGCCAGCGAAGGCCAGGGGAACAAACGGG